UCGCGCGGGCUGGCGCAUCCAAAACACUCCACACCAAAACACCGUCUAAAGCUAUGUGCGCAUUACCCAGUGUGAUCGCAUCUAACCAAAGACAACUCUCAACAACGGAUAUCUUGGCUCUUACAACGAUGAAGAACGCAGCGAAAUGCGAUACGUAGUGUGAAUUGCAGAAUUCCGUGAACCAUCGAAUCUUUGAACGCAUAUUGCGCUCGAGGCCUCGGCCAAGAGCACGCCUGCCUCAGAGUCGGUUUUCCCCCUCAACCCCCUAACCCCCUGCGAGUUAGGGGAUUGGACCUGGCAGUCUCAUGGCUCCGUCCAUGGGUCUGCUGAAGUGCAGAGAUCUAAUCAGGACCCGCCAAACGGGCAAACACUAGGUAGGUAGCCUUCGGGUUAUUCCUGUGUGUGUCUGAGGCCUGGCUAUGAUCAGCAGGAAAACUUUACUUAACCAUUCGACCUGAGUUCAGACGAGACUACCCGCCGAACUUAAGCAUAUCAAUAAGCGGAGGAAA
rnacentral:rRNA from 2 species